rfam:Xenopus tropicalis strain Nigerian scaffold_399_contig_7, whole genome shotgun sequence.
ACAAAGGCUCUUUUCAGAGCCACCCACUCACUCGGUUAUCUAGAG